rnacentral:rRNA from 1 species
UACGGAGGAUGCGAGCGUUAUCCGGAUUUAUUGGGUUUAAAGGGUGCGCAGGCGGCACGGCAAGCCGGCGGUCAAAUCGCGGGGCUCAACCCCGCCCAGCCGUCGGAACUGCCGGGCUAGAGUGGGCGAGAAGUGCGCGGAAUGCGUGGUGUAGCGGUGAAAUGCAUAGAUAUCACGCAGAACUCCGAUUGCGAAGGCAGCGCACCGGCGCCCCACUGACGCUCAGGCACGAAAGCGUGGGUAUCGAACAGG